rnacentral:rRNA from 1 species
UACAGAGGGUGCGAGCGUUAAUCGGAAUUACUGGGCGUAAAGCGCGCGUAGGCGGCUUUGCAAGUCGGGUGUGAAAUCCCCAGGCUUAACCUGGGAAUUGCAUUCGAUACUGGAUAGCUAGAGUUCGGCAGAGGGAAGCGGAAUUUCCGGUGUAGCGGUGAAAUGCGUAGAUAUCGGAAGGAACAUCAGUGGCGAAAGCGGCUUCCUGGACCAGAACUGACGAUCAGGCACGAAAGCGUGGGGAGCAAACAGG